UCAAAUCGAACCAGUAGUUCCUGAGAUAAGUGCGUUCAAACUUCAGCUUUAUAUAUUAGUAUAGAUGUAGCGCCAUGUUGUAUUAGCCUAAACCUGACAAAAGUGCUCGCGUAAAUAACAUUCUGGCAACUGGGUGAGAUUUAUACCUCUCCGUCUGCGCUGACUAUAUGGACUAUAGUUGGGCCCUAAACUAGUCAGGUGAUUCCAAUGAACACACAAUAGUUGUAGGGUAUUAUAGUAAGAGGGCGUGACAUGGUGCGAAAAGAAUUAAUAUAUUUAAUAUAGCAACAUGAGACAAGUAUUACUUCUCUCAUUUGAAAUAUAAUUUGCUUUUUGUUAGUGUUUACAUGUACAUUUUAGCAAAGUCAUUGAGAAAAGCUGCCGCCCCGUCAUUACAUGAAAUUGUAUACAGAGUUGUGACUUUUGAUUAGAUAUCACAUAUUACUUAUUAUUUGUAAGAAUAUUGUUAGGUUAGAAUGGGCUUUAUUUUAUGUAUUACAAAAUAACGUGCAUAACAUUUUGCCGUUGACUGUAAAACAUUUUUGUAUACUAAAACCUGUUUUACUUUUAUUAUAAUGUGAUUUUGUAAUAACUUCACGAGGUAAAUUUUACGUACUUUAAUAAUUAUGUGCAGCGAAUUCAGUCUUUUUAUACCUCAUUAAAAGAUAGAUUACAAUUUAUUCAUUUUCCCUUCUACUACUCUGGUAUUAGCCUUAUACCUAGUAGUUGGGAAUUGCAUGUAUCAUAGAUCUAUUUAAUGUUAUCACCACGGACUUGUCGUCACUUUCAAAUCUCAUCAAUUCCCCGACGAUUCGCUAUCCCCUGAAUCGUCAAAAUACAAAUAGUGUAUAUGACUUUAAUUAUUUCUCUUAUGCCACUAAUGACACAAUCCGUUUAUUUUUAUUUUUUUAUGUCUCGUACUAUUGAUUAAUAAAAUGUUGAAAGCCAUAGUAAAGUGUGUGUAAAGAUGUCGGAUGGUAAAACUAAAUAUUGAACUUACUGUUGUUGAAUCAGUUAAAGUCAUCUUAAAGUUAAAGCGAGACUGCGCACUACGCGGCAUAGAGCGGUGUCUGUCUUCCAACUGAAAUAGUAUAAUAAGACGUGGUGGAAGUCACUCGGAUAAUUAACCAGUUAUUCGGUUGCAUCAAAAUGUAUUUGUUAAAGCGGUAUUCAAACUUUCACGACAAGGAUCAGUGCAACAUAGAGAAGAAGUGCCGAGAAGAAGGAUACUUAUAAAACAGGUAGUCUCCAUGUUUUGAAACCAAAGAAGUGCCAGUCUUUUCAUUGUAAACGGAUACACUAUCGAUAAGAAAUCACAUUUGAGUCAUGGUGGUGUGCGCUAUGCUUGUUCUAAUACAUUUCGAUCCUGCCGAGCUUUCCUACAUUAAAGCAGAAAAAAUAAAAUGGUGGUACUACUAGAAAACCGUCAUCAUGAACCUCCGGAUUAUUAUAAAAAUAAAAGGAGGCAUAAUGUGAAAAUUAAACCUUAUUAACGGCAAAUAACAUUAUCUGCCGAAAGUCAUAUGAAACAUACUAAUUUUCAGGAAAUGAAAUCUUUUCUGGCAGAGUAGCGUUAAGUUCCUCUUGUGAAUGUGUAGAGAUAGAGAUAAAGAUUUAAAGAAGUUAAAAAUAUAUGAAGAAAGGGUGAUGGACAAUUUAAAACAGUGAAGAACCGCUAUAGUGGAUCAUUUCCAUACUUCAGUGACUAUCAAAAAACCUCCUACCACAAAAAACUUUUGAAUGUGGAACUUUAAAAUAUUUGCCAAAGAAAGUUUAAUGCGAGUAUAGAGAGCCAGAUUAUUGGAAAAUGAACAAAGUAAAAUAUUAAAUAUAAAAAUGGGUUGAUAAAAUAAAUGUUAACUACGCGCAAAGAUCAUGACAACAAACUAAUGGAUAC